UCCGAGUUGACCCCGGCAGUCUCCUAUGAGUCCCCACCAUCACGUGCUGGCAACAUAGAACGAGGGUUGCGCUCGUUGCGGGACUUAACCCAACAUCUCACGACACGAGCUGACGACAACCAUGCACCACCUGUAUACGAGUGUCCAAAGAGAACGACAUCUCUGCCGCGUUCUCGCAUAUGUCAAGCCUUGGUAAGGUUCUUCGCGUUGCAUCGAAUUAAUCCGCAUGCUCCGCCGCUUGUGCAGGCCCCCGUCAAUUUCUUUGAGUUUUAAUCUUGCGACCGUACUUCCCAGGCGGCACAUUUAGCGCGUUAGCUUCGCCACAAAAGGGGUCGAUUCCUCUUACAGCAAAUGUGCACCGUUUACGGCUAGGACUAC
rnacentral:misc_RNA from 1 species